rnacentral:rRNA from 1 species
UAGCAGAAAGUUACAAGCAACAGUGUGGAUGCCUUGGCGACAUCUGGCGAAGAAGGACGCGACAAGCUGCGAUAAGCCCCGGGGAGCCGCAAAUAGGCCGAUCCGGGGAUUUCCGAAUGGGGAAACCCUGUCAGCAAUGACAAUCCUGCCCUGAAUUCAAUAGGGGCAGAGAAGCAAACCUGGAGAAGUGAAACAUCUCAGUAUCCAGAGGAAAAGAAAGCGAAUGCGAUUCCCUCAGUAGUGGCGAACGAAAGGGGAACAGCCCAAACCAAGAGGACUUGUCCUCCUGGGGUACGGGCCUCGAUGUGAGACUGAAGAGGUUAGGCGAAGCGUUUGAAUGGCGCGUCAUAGAGGGUGAGAACCCCGUAGCCAAAAACCCGAUCAGCUCUAGAGGUACCCAGAGUAGCACCGGACACGUGAAACCCGGUGUGAAAAAAACGCAGACCACUGCGUAAGGCUAAAUACACGAUGUCGACCGAUAGUGAAGAGUACCGCGAGGGAAAGGUGAAAAGCACCCCUGUUAGGGGAGUGAAAAGUACCUGAAACCUGUUGCUUACAAGCGGUCGGAGCCCCCUCGUGGGGUGACGGCGUACCUUUUGCAUAAUGGGUCUGGGAGUUAACGUAAGGAGCCAGCCUAAGGUCCCUCAGGACCGGAGGCGCAGCGAAAGCGAGUCUGAAUAGGGCGUUUAGUUCCUUGCGUUAUACCCGAAGCGGAGGUGAUCUACCCAUGACCAGGUUGAAGCCCAAGUAACAUUGGGUGGAGGACCGAACUGAUGGCACUUGAGAAUGCCCCGGAUGAGUUGUGGGUAGGAGUGAAAGGCUAAUCAAACCCCGUAAUAGCUGGUUCUCUCCGAAAUAUAUUUAGGUAUAGCGUCCAGCGCUGACCCGUGGGGGUAGAGCACUGAAAAGGCUAGGGGACACACCCGUCUACCAACCCUUAUCAAACUCCGAAUACCACGGGGCGAAGCUGGGCAGUCAGGCAGUGGGGGAUAAGCUUCAUUGCCGAGAGGAAAACAGUCCAGACCACCAAUUAAGGCCCCAAAGACGUAGCUAAGUGGAUUAAAGAAUGUGAACUUGCACAGACAAUAGGGAUGUUGGCUUAGAGGCAGCCACCAUUUAAACAGUGCGUAACAGCUGACCUAUCGAGUGAGUUUGCGUCUAAGAUGAUCGGGACUAAGCGACGCGCCGAAGUUGUGGGCUGCAGCAAUGCAGCGGUAGGAGAGCGUUCCAGCAGCGGUGAAGCGGAAGCGGUAAGCGACCGUGGAGCGGCUGGAAGUGAGUAUCCAGACAUAAGUAACGAUAAGAAUGGUUGAAAUCCAUUCCGCCGUAAGGAUAAGGUUUCCAGGGCAAGGGUCGUCCCCCCUGGGUUAGUCGGGAGCUAAGCCGAGGCCGUAAGGAGUAGGCGAUGCACAUCAGGUUAAUAUUCCUGAACCAAGUAGAGAGGACGGGAUCAUGGAGUCAGCAGACCUUAUUGACUUGGCAGUCCGAGGCUACGGCCGAGGACGCGCUGAUGAAGUGAUCUCCAGGAAAAGCCUCUACAUUAGCCCGUACCGCAAACCGACACAGGUAUCCGGGAUGAGUAUUCUAAGGCGCGUGAGUUAAACCUCCUCAAGGAACUCGACAAAUUAACCCCGUAUCUUCGGUAUAAGGGGUGCUCCGGGCAACCGGAGUCGCAGUGAAGAGGCCCUACCGACUGUUUAGCAAAAACACAGCUCUCUGCUAAGUCGCAAGACGACGUAUAGGGAGUGACGUGUGACCAAUGCGGAAAGGUGAAAGCUGGAGCUGCAAGGUUCCGGUCUAAGCCCCCGUGAAUGUCGGCCGUAACUAUAACGGUCCUAAGGUAGCGAAAUUCCUUGUC